GAACGAGUUCUCGUUGAUGAUCGGUGCUUGCACCGAGAUUCAACAUGGAACGAGUGGCGGACGGGUGAGUAACACGUGGGUAACCUGCCCUUAAGUGGGGGAUAACAUUUGGAAACAGAUGCUAAUACCGCAUAGAUCCAAGAACCGCAUGGUUCUUGGCUGAAAGAUGGCGUAAGCUAUCGCUUUUGGAUGGACCCGCGGCGUAUUAGCUAGUUGGUGAGGUAAUGGCUCACCAAGGCGAUGAUACGUAGCCGAACUGAGAGGUUGAUCGGCCACAUUGGGACUGAGACACGGCCCAAACUCCUACGGGAGGCAGCAGUAGGGAAUCUUCCACAAUGGACGCAAGUCUGAUGGAGCAACGCCGCGUGAGUGAAGAAGGCUUUCGGGUCGUAAAACUCUGUUGUUUGAGAAGAAUGGUCGGCAGAGUAACUGUUGUCGGCGUGACGGUAUCCAACCAGAAAGCCACGGCUAACUACGUGCCAGCAGCCGCGGUAAUACGUAGGUGGCAAGCGUUAUCCGGAUUUAUUGGGCGUAAAGCGAGCGCAGGCGGUUUUUUAAGUCUGAUGUGAAAGCCCUCGGCUUAACCGAGGAAGCGCAUCGGAAACUGGGAAACUUGAGUGCAGAAGAGGACAGUGGAACUCCAUGUGUAGCGGUGAAAUGCGUAGAUAAUAUGGGAAGAACACCAGUGGCGAAGGCGGCUGUCUGGUCUGUAACUGACGCUGAGGCUCGAAAGCAUGGGUAGCGAACAGGAUUAGAUACCCUGGUAGUCCAUGCCGUAACGAUGAAUG
rnacentral:rRNA from 2 species